GCAAUUGGCGGCGUCCUAUAAUGCAGUCGAGCGGACUGAUGAGGAGCUUGCUCCCUGAAGUCAGCGGCGGACGGGUGAGUAACACGUGGGCAACCUGCCUGUAAGACUGGGAUAACUCCGGGAAACCGGGGCUAAUACCGGAUAACUCUUUUCCUCACAUGAAGAAAAGCUGAAAGAUGGUUUCGGCUAUCACUUACAGAUGGGCCCGCGGCGCAUUAUCUAUUUGGAGAGGUAACGGCUCACCAGGGCCACGAUGCGUACCCCACCUGAGAGGGUGAUCGGCCACUCUGGGACUGACACACGGCCCACACUCCUACGGGAGGCAGCAAUAGGGAAUCUUCCGCAGUGGAAGAAAGUCUGACAGAACAACCCCGCGUGAGUGAUGAAGGUUUUCAGAUCAAAAAACUCUGUUGUCGGGGAAAAACAAAUACGAGAAUAUGUGCCGGUACCUUGACGGUACCUGACCAAAAACCCGCGGCUAACUACGCGCCCCCACCCGCUGUAAUACGUAUG
rnacentral:rRNA from 2 species